GAAGAUAUGGAAGAGAGCAGAAAAGCUGCCUCGGGUGUGUGGGCAAGGGGGAAUGUUAGAAAUCAUCAGAAAUCAGACAGUCCCUGCACAUAGGAUGACAUGCUGAAAAUCUGACACGAAAGGGGAAAAGGUUUGAAAUGAAGGGGAAAACAGAAAGGUUGAAAAGCGCUCCCUCUCCCCUCUUUGGAGUUCAUACAAAGGAAUUCCAGGGAGAUUCAGAAACAGACCAAACCCAAGUUUCAUCCAGAUGGACAAUUCGAGUACCUUCUUACAGCCCUGAGUGAGAACUUCUGAUUCAGUGGAUCUUGGUGGUGGUUGUGGCAUUCCUAUGCACUCACACAGAGAACAUAGCUCAGAGGAGCCCUACAGGUAACAGCCAUAGUGUCAAACAGGAGCCUCCCAGCUCCACAUUCUGAGUUCACCUUUCCAGGAAGGAUCUCGAUAAUCCAUUUCUUCCGUCAACACUUGGAGCUGAGAAGGCAUCAUAUGUACUGUAUCCCUGUUCUGCCCAGGAAUGGAACAUUAAAGACUAGCUGUUUGUUAUCUAGUAUGAUGGGAUUCAAGGAAGGGAUU